GGAGGGGUGGCCGAGUGGCUGAAGGCGACGGUUUGCUAAAUCGUUGUAGGUGUUAAAGCCUACCGUGGGUUCGAAUCCCAUCCCCUCCGCCA
rnacentral:tRNA from 1 species